UGUGAGUAGAGGCCCCAGGAGGCCGGGCACGGCCGGGGGCUCGGAGGCAGUGCUGAGGUCAGGGGCAGGGGGAGCCGCGGGAAGGCGGAGGGGGCCAAGGGAGCGAAAACGCCUUUCUGGGAUUAGCAGCCCUGGCGCUUCCACCCCCAUCAGCCUGGACCACAAAGCCCCUUCCCGCUUUGGGGCUGCGUGUCCGGAGAAGGAGCUUAGUUGCUGGCGAGAUCCAUCAGAGGUUACUGUGCCUGAGCGGGGGACAAAGCAGUAGAGAAGCAGGUGCGCAGAUGGCUGAGGAACACGAGCAAGUGGAGGCUCUCCUUGUCCUGCCGCUAACAAGCUUUCCAGGCAGCUUAGGAAUAAAAAUCAGCAUGCUUCUGAGGAUAAACCGUAUUUCAGGGUGACUCCGGCGGCCCUCUCAGUUGCCCAGCUGCUGAUGGCCGGUGGUACGUCCAAGGGAUCGCCAGCUUUGUCUCCGGAUGGGGCUGCGACACCUUGCAGAAGCCCACCGUCUUCACCCGUGUCUCUGCCUUCAUCCCCUGGAUCGAGCAGAUCAUUUCCAGCAAUUCACCUUAAGCAGAAACUCGCGGCGUUCCAAGAUCGGGCUUUGCUCGUGUAAAAAACAAUAAACGUCUUCCUGGCUGCAGCC